rnacentral:rRNA from 1 species
GUCUUUUUGAUAAUAAUUUAAAGUCUGGCCUGCCCAAUGAUAAUUUAAAUGGCCGCGGUAUUUUGACCGUGCAAAGGUAGCAUAAUCAUUAGUUUUUUAAUUGAAAACUUGUAUGAAAGGUUAGACGAGAAAAUUACUGUCUCGAUUUUAUUUUAUAAGAAUUUUAUUUUUAAGUUAAAAAGCUUAAAUAUAUUUAAAAGACGAGAAGACCCUAUAGAGUUUUAUAUUAUUAUAAUUUAUUUUUAUAUAAUUUAUAUAAUUAUUAAUAAUAUUUUAUUGGGGUGAUAAUUAAAUUUAGUAAACUUUAUUUUUUUUUUUACAUUUAUUUAUGAUUGUUAUGAUCCAAUUUUUUUUGAUUAUAAGUUAAAAUUACCUUAGGGAUAACAGCGUUAUUUUUUUCAAGAGUUCAUAUCGAAAGAAAAGAUUGCGACCUCGAUGUUGGAUUAAAAUUAAUUUUUGGUGUAGAAGCUAAAUAAUUAAGUCUGUUCGACUUUUAAAAUUUUACAUGAUCUGAGUUUAAACCGGUGUAAGCCAGGUUGGUUUCUAUCUUUAAAUAAAUAGAGUAUUUUAGUACGAAAGGACCAGAUACUUGUAAUAUUUAUUAAUUUAUUGAAUAUUAUUGUUGUUUUGGCAGAUUAGUGCAUUAAAUUUAGAAUUUAAUUAUGUAAUUUAUUACAAAUAAUACUUGUUUUAUAAAGAUUUAAUUUUAAUAGUAAUUAGGAGUAUUUUAUUAAUUAUUUGUGUAUUAAUU